rnacentral:rRNA from 1 species
GUAGGGAAUAUUGCGCAAUGGGGGAAACCCUGACGCAGCGACGCCGCGUGAGUGAUGAAGGCCUUCGGGUCGUAAAGCUCUGUUGCAGGGGAAUAAAAAAAUGAAGGUACCCUGUGAGGAAGGAUCGGCUAACUUCGUGCCAGCAGCCGCGGUAAGACGAGGGAUCCUAGCGUUGCUCGGAAUCAUUGGGCGUAAAGAGGGCGUAGGUGGCUUGGUAAGUCAGGUGUGAAAGCCCAGGGCUCAACCGUGGAAGUGCAUUUGAUACUGCUGAGCUUGAGUGUCGGAGAGGUUACCGGAAUACCUGGUGUAGUGGUGAAAUACGUAGAUAUCAGGUGGAACACCGGAGGCGAAGGCGGGUAACUGGACGAACACUGACACUGAGGCCCGAAAGCGUGGGGAUCAAACAGGAUUAGAUACCCUAGUAGUCC